GACGAACGCUGGCGGCGUGCUUAACACAUGCAAGUCGAACGGAAAGGCCCUGCUUGCAGGGUACUCGAGUGGCGAACGGGCGAGUAACACGUGGGUGAUCUGCCCUGCACUUCGGGAUAAGCCUGGGAAACUGGGUCUAAUACCGGAUAGGAGCCAUUUUUAGUGUGAUGGUUGGAAAGUUUUUUCGGUGUAGGAUGAGCUCGCGGCCUAUCAGCUUGUUGGUGGGGUAAUGGCCUACCAAGGCGGCGACGGGUAGCCGGCCUGGGCGGGUGGACGGCCACAUUGGGACUGAGAUACGGCCCAGACUCCUACGGGAGGCAGCAGUGGGGAAUAUUGCACAAUGGGCGCAAGCCUGAUGCAGCGACGCCGCGUGGGGGAUGACGGCCUUCGGGUUGUAAACUCCUUUCGCUAGGGACGAAGCUUUUUGUGACGGUACCUAGAUAAGAAGCACCGGCUAACUACGUG
rnacentral:rRNA from 1 species